rnacentral:rRNA from 1 species
GGACUACAGGGGUAUCUAAUCCUGUUUGCUCCCCUAGCUUUCGUUCCUCAGCGUCAGUAGUGGUCCAGCGCGCCGCUUUCGCCACGGGUGUUCCUGCAGAUAUCUACGCAUUUCACCGCUACACCUGCAAUUCCACGCGCCUCUCCCACACUCUAGCACGGCAGUUUCAGAAGCAGCCCCUGAGUUAAGCCCAGAGAUUUCACUCCCGACUUGCCACACCGCCUACGAACCCUUUACACCCAGUAAUUCCGAGCAACGCUGGCCCCCUACGUCUUACCGCGGUAAUG